GUAGUAAAUAAAAUAAAAUUUUCCAUGAACAUGUUAUUAUAUUUGAGCAGCUGGAAAAGAAUGUGUCUGCCGAAACUAUCGAAAUGCAAGAGCAUUCUGUCUGCCAAAUGCAUUUUCUAACUAAAUAGGGUUUUCGUCGAUAGAUGUGUGACAUAUCCUUAAAAAGAAUGGGUUUUGGUACUCUCUGUACAUAUUGGAACCAUCCAAUUUCGUUCAUUGGGUCAACGUUCGCUCUGAGGCACGCACAUAUACCAAUCGAAGCGUCCAUGUUUCGUAAGGAUAUCGGGAGGAAAGGAAUGAGACGGCAUAAUAGUUAUAAUAAAAAUAAAACCAUGUGCAGCGUGUGGAUACGUCAGGCGGCAACCGUCAGGCAGAGGGAAAGCAUUGUUGAAAAGUGAAAGUUUUAUAGUUGGCGCACGUUCAUAAAGUUUUGCGUGUUAUACAAAAGAUUUAUUAUAUCGCA